AACAAAGGAAUGGGAGGAGUAAAGUAACAAAGGAAUGGCAGGAGUAAAGUAACAAAGGAAUGGGAGGAGUAAAGUAACAAAGGAAUGGGAGGAGUAAAGUAACAAAGGAAUGGGAGGAGUAAAGUAACAAAGGAAUGGGAGGAGUAAAGUAACAAAGGAAUGGGAGGAGUAAAGUAGCAAAGGAAUGGGAGGAGUGAAGUAACAAAGGAAUGGGAGAAGUAAAGUAACAAAGGAAUGGGAGGAGUAAAGUAACAAAGGAAUGGGAGGAGUAAAGGACAAAGGAAUGGGAGGAGUAAAGUGAAUGGGAGGAGUAAAGUAACAAAGGAAUGGGAGGAGUAAAGUAACAAAGGAAUGGGAGGAGUAAAGUAACAAAGGAAUGGGAGGAGUAAAGUAACAAAGGAAUGGCAGAAGUAAUGUAACAAAGGAAUGGGAGAAGUAAAGUAACAAAAUAAUAGAAGGAGUAAAGUAGCGAAGGAAUAGUAGGAGUAAAGUAACAAAGGAAUAAGAGAAGUAAAGUAACAAAGGAAUGGCUGCAGUAAAGUAACAAAGGAAUGGAAGGAGUAAAGUAACAAAGGAAUGGGAGAAGUAAAGUAACAAAAGAAUGGCAGAAGUAAAGUAACAAAGGAAUGGCUGCAGUAAAGUAACAAAGGAAUGGAAGGAGUAAAGUAACAAAGGAAUGGGAGAAGUAAAGUAACAAAAGAAUGGCAAAAGUAAAGUAACAAAGGAAUGGCAGGAGUAAAGUAACAAAGGAAUGGAAGGAGUAAAGUAACAAAGGAAUGGGAGAAGUAAAGUAACAAAAGAAUGGCAGAAGUAAGGUAACAAAGGAAUGGAAGGAGUAAAGUAACAAAGGAAUGGAAGGAGUAAAGUAACAAAGGAAUGGGAGAAGUAAAGUAACAAAGUAAUGGCAGGAG